rnacentral:rRNA from 1 species
GAUGAACGCUAGCGGCAGGCUUAACACAUGCAAGUCGAGGGGUAACAGGUAGCUUGCUAUGCUGACGACCGGCGAACGGGUGCGUAACGCGUAUAGAAUCUGCCUUGUACAGGAGGAUAGCCUUUAGAAAUGAAGAUUAAUACUCCAUAAUGUUAAUGAUUGGCAUCAGUUAUUAAUUAAACAUUUAUGGGUACAAGAUGACUAUGCGUCCUAUUAGCUAGAUGGUAAGGUAACGGCUUACCAUGGCAACGAUAGGUAGGGGGUCUGAGAGGAUUAUCCCCCACACUGGUACUGAGACACGGACCAG